UGAGCGUGUCGGGCUCGGAGGCGGCGGCMAGUCCCCCUGACCGGGGCCUGUCCGAAGCGGGUGCGAGGCCCAUARCCGCAGCUUCCGUUCCGAAUGCGAUCUCCUGGGAGUCGGGUUGCUUGGGAGUGCASCCCUAAUCGGGUGGUAAACUCCACCUAAGGCUAAAUACCGCCGUGAGACCGAUAGCAAACAAGUACCGUGAGGGAAAGUUGCAAAGAACUUUGAAGAGAGAGUUCAAGAGUACGUGAAACUGCUCAGAGGUAAACGGGUGGGCCCUCGAAAUCCUGUGGCGAGAGGAUUCAGUCUGGGUCAGCGGGACGCCGUCGAGAGGACACAGAGUGGCUUCCGCAUCCUUCGCGGGCCGUCCUUUCCGGCGUCUUUUCGCGGGCACAGACGCAUUUGACUCUCGUCCCGAGGACGCUGCGGCCGGUUCGGAAGCGCAAGCGCGACGGCCUGAGGGCCGGGAAGCGGCAGGUGGCCGGUGGCUCGCCGCGUGCGGGUCGCCGGUUGUUAGCCGUCCCGGCGGUGGCUCGUCUCCGGACCGUGGUGUCGCGAGUCCCUCCAGGGACUCUGCGUCUCCUCCCCAUAGCGUCGGCGCGGGGCAGAUCGCGGCCAGGGCGCUUCGGCGCACCGACCGUCGCACUUGACACGGAGUGGGCGGGAGGGCCGAGCGCCCUCAUCCGCCGCGACGGACCCGUAGGGGACUGGAGGCCUGCAGCGAGUAGGUCGGUCACCCACCCGACCCGUCUUGAAACACGGACCAAGGAGUCUAACAUGUGCGCGAGUCAGUGGGUCUUGAAUAGGCCCACGGGCGCAAUGAAAGCGAAGGGCUCGCCGCGCGCGGCCCGAGCGGGGAUCCCUGCCGGAAACGGCGGGGCGCACCCGCGACCCGUCCUAUCCGGCUCGCCGGUUGGGCGGAGUCUGAGCGUACACGUUGGGACCCGAAAGAUGGUGAACUAUGCCCGGGCAGGACGAGGCCAGAGGAAACUCUGGUGGAGGUCCGCAGCGGUUCUGACGUGC
rnacentral:rRNA from 1 species